UACGAAGGGGGCUAGCGUUGCUCGGAAUCACUGGGCGUAAAGCGCACUAGGCGGCUUUUUAAGUCAGGGGUGAAAUCCUGGAGCUCAACUCCAGAACUGCCUUUGAUACUGAGAAGCUUGAGUCCGGGAGAGGUGAGUGGAACUGCGAGUGUAGAGGUGAAAUUCGUAGAUAUUCGCAAGAACACCAGUGGCGAAGGCGGCUCACUGGACCGGUUCUGACGCUGAGGCGCGAAAGCGUGGGGAGCAAACAGG
rnacentral:rRNA from 1 species